rnacentral:rRNA from 1 species
AUGGAAGUGAUUGAAACGAUGAAGAAUGGAGGACAAUCGACGGGAGCGACAACGACAGUGUUCGAUGAUUGCAAUUUUAUGGCUUGCGAAUUUACUAUUAGUAGGUUUGAACAUUGUAAUAGGGAAGCAAAUAAAGUUGCUCAAGAACUUGCUAGGCUUGCAAAAUUCUCAGCGACCAGGGAUUGGUUUGAGGAGCCCAUGGAUAAUAUUGUAUCUCUCCUUAUUGAUGAGGUAAUUGUUAUUUCUAUUUAA